GAGGUGAGAAGGGGGUGAGAGAAACCCCUCAGAGAGGAGAGGCGAGGCGAGGUCCAGAUUACAUCGGUCUCCACGUCCGUGCCCCGAUCAGUGCCCCCUGCGCCACCACCCCCUCCACCUCCCACCUCGCUGUCCCAGCCACCCCCGCUGCUGAGGCCACCUUUGCCCACGGCUCCCACUCUGCUCCGACAGCCACCCCCACUGCAGCAGGGCCGCUUCCUCCAGCCCCGGCUGGCCCCCAACCAGCCCCCACCGCCUCUCAUCCGCCCCGCUCUG
rnacentral:lncRNA from 1 species